GAUGAACGCUGGCGGUAUGCUUAACACAUGCAAGUCGAACGGGGGUAGAAAUACCCUAGUGGCGGACGGGUGAGUAACGCGUGAGAAUCUAGCUUCAGGUCGGGGAUAACAGAGGGAAACCGCUGCUAAUACCGGAUGAACCUACGGGUAAAAGAUUAAUUGCCAGAAGAUGAGCUCGCGUCCGAUUAGCUAGUUGGUAGGGUAAUGGCCUACCAAGGCGGCGAUCGGUAGCUGGUCUGAGAGGACGAUCAGCCACACUGGGACUGAGACACGGCCCAGACUCCUACGGGAGGCAGCAGUGGGGAAUUUUCCGCAAUGGGCGAAAGCCUGACGGAGCAAUACCGCGUGAGGGAGGAAGGCUCUUGGGUUGUAAAACCUCCUUUCUCAAGGAAGAAGCAAUGACGGUACUUGAGGAAUCAGCAUCGGCUAACUCCGUG
rnacentral:rRNA from 1 species